rnacentral:rRNA from 1 species
CGAACGCUGGCGGCAGGCCUAAUACAUGCAAGUCGAACGGCUCUUCGGAGCAGUGGCGGACGGGUGAGUAACGCGUGGGAAUGUGCCCUUAGGUACGGAACAACACAGGGAAACUUGUGCUAAUACCGUAUGUGCCCUUCGGGGGAAAGAUUUAUCGCCUUUGGAGCAGCCCGCGUUGGAUUAGGUAGUUGGUGAGGUAAAGGCUCACCAAGCCGACGAUCCAUAGCUGGUCUGAGAGGAUGAUCAGCCACAUUGGGACUGAGACACGGCCCAAACUCCUACGGGAGGCAGCAGUGGGGAAUCUUGCGCAAUGGGCGAAAGCCUGACGCAGCCAUGCCGCGUGAAUGAUGAAGGUCUUAGGAUUGUAAAAUUCUUUCACCGGGGAAGAUAAUGACGGUACCCGGAGAAGAAGCCCCGGCUAACUCCGUGCCAGCCGCCGCCGUAAGAC